rnacentral:rRNA from 1 species
ACGGGAGGCAGCAGUGGGGAAUAUUGGGCAAUGGGGGAAACCCUGACCCAGCAACGCCGCGUGAAGGAAGAAGGCCUUCGGGUUGUAAACUUCUUUUACCAGGGACGAACAAAAUGACGGUACCUGGAGAAAAAGCAACGGCUAACUACGUGCCAGCAGCCGCGGUAAUACGGAGGAUGCGAGCGUUAUCCGGAUUUAUUGGGUUUAAAGGGUGCGCAGGCGGCACGUUAAGUCAGCGGUGAAAUGCAGGGGCUCAACCCCGGCACUGCCGUUGAAACUGGCGAGCUCGAGUACGGAUGAAGUCGGCGGAAUGUGAUGUGUAGCGGUGAAAUGCUUAGAUAUGUCACAGAACACCGAUUGCGAAGGCAGCUGACUAAUCCGCAACUGACGCUCAGGCACGAAAGCGUGGGGAUCGAACAGGAUUAGAUACCCUGGUA